UUCACCUGGGGAGACAAUGUUGCCAGUGAGUGUCCUGGUUGCCUCUCUAUUCCAGCUCUUUGUCCUGGGCAGAGCUUGCUGCACCUUCCAGUUCCAGUAAUCAAGGAAGUGGAGUCCCUGCAAUUCUUCAAGGAACCUUGAGAACUCAGGAGGUCCUGGGGUGGCUGCAUCAAUCCUGCGGACCAAUGCCAGUCAGCAGAGGGGUCAUUCCCAGGGCCACAUGGCUGGCUGAGUUGGGCCUUGGCCAGACUGGACAGACUCACUGCUUCUGCGCGUUGGAGUUGGGAAGGAAUUCCAUCCAGAGAGAUUCUAAAGAGUCAGCACGACGCCAGAGGAGGAGAGAAAUGGCUGAGAAGGGAGGAACAUUUUAUGUGACGAUUACUGCCAGGGAGCUUUAUCUGUUGCGAACGGACGUGGUGAAACAAUUUGCACAAUAUGGUCCUUUGAGGGAUUCUGGAAAAAAGUCCUUCCAUCAGCAGGAACUUGAAAUUUUCCCUUGUGAUGAGCGUUUCUGCUCUGGAAAGCGGGUGUAAGGACUCCUAAGGCUGUCCCUUUAAUUCUCGGUUCUGAGUGGCUGACUGGACACAAAUUGUUAAAAUAUGAAGACAUAUAAUCUCGGAAUCAAGGAAAAGAUGGCAACGGAAAACCAAGUAUUCAUGUUGCUUCCCAGGAAGAUGACGGGCUGAACAAAGGAGCUGGGAAGUCAGGUUUGUACCUGCACGGUGUAGGGUCAUCACUUAGCUCCAUGUGCCUCCUCUGAGGGCACGGGUGUAUAUGUUUGUGGUUGAUUGCUUUGAUAUAUUCCAUUUCAGUUUUAAAACACCCUGAGGCAACAGUGACCAAACUACUUUUAUCCAUUCACAAACAUACGAAAACCAAAUGUGGAUCUAGGAAAAGAGAUUGUUAAAUAAAUUAAUUUUUGCUACUACUACUCGUAUUUUUUAAAAAAAUAGCGCUGAAACCAAACCAA
rnacentral:lncRNA from 1 species